rnacentral:rRNA from 1 species
CCUACGGGUGGCAGCAGUGGGGAAUAUUGCGCAAUGGGCGAAAGCCUGACGCAGCGACGCCGCGUGAGGGAUGAAGGUCUUCGGAUCGUAAACCUCUGUCAGCAGGGAAGCACGGUCACUGUGCUAAUCAGCAGUGAAUUGACGGUACCUGCAAAGGAAGCACCGGCUAACUCCGUGCCAGCCGCCGCGGUAAUACGGAGGGUGCGAGCGUUAAUCGGAAUUACUGGGCGUAAAGCGCUCGUAGGCGGUAUGUCAAGUCAAGGGUGAAAUCCCCGCGCUCAACGUGGGAACUGCAUUUGAAACUGGCAAACUGGAGUGUGUGAGAGGAUAGUGGAAUUCCAGGUGUAGGAGUGAAAUCCGUAGAUACCUGGAGGAACAUCAGUGGCGAAGGCGACUAUCUGGCACAUAACUGACGCUGAGGAGCGAAAGCGUGGGUAGCAAACAGGAUUAGAUACCCCUGUAGUC